AACCUUAAACGACAACUAAAACGAAACGGAAGGAGCAUAUGAAAUGAGGUGAACUCUCUCCAUGAGAGUGCACGUCAGCGCUCCUACAUCUGCCACAUCAGCACCUAUUAUUGUGUAUUUACAAAAAAAUAGGAAAAAAACCCAUUAAAAGUAAUUAGACUCUAUUUGUUCCAACUUUUACUGAAUGAAUCAAUUAAUGACAUUUCAGUUUUACCUGUUUCAUCUUCCAUCCGAUUCAUGCCCUUCGUCUUCUUUAUCGGAAUCUUAUUUGCCAAUCUUUCCAACUUCUUCGUCUUCAUAUUUUAUCAUCUUCUAUUUAAUUCAAAUUCGUUAUAAUUUUUUUUUAUUUAUUCACCUCCAUCAUCCUACGCCUACAUGUAAUUUCAGUGGUUAUGUCGCUUAGUGGUCUCGAUUCGUAUAGAUCUUCCCUGCUUUUGAAUGCAUAUAGAAUCGUUGGCGAUCAUCGGCCAGCCACUAACUGACUUGGUGCGAGCUCUGGCGAUGGUUGCGAAACGAGCUUUUCUUUCUUUUUUUUUGUUGGUGCCAUCAAAGCCAGAUUCCAUAAAAAUGGAGUUUAGGGUUCCACUUUGGUGAAGGGGUUAUUGUUAUGCCAAUGCAACUAACAAGUCAAAGCCAAGCUUGGAUGAAAUUUGUACGUUUAAUGUAUUUCCUUUCGAAUACCGAACAUUUUUACAGUAAGUUAAUUUUCACGACGAGUACAUUCAACGAGAAAUAAUAUAUCCUCCCAAAUACACUACU